AGUUCCGGGGUGUUACAUGUCAGAUUGCAAAUCUGAAGAGGCGGAGUAAAGUCCGCCGGGACUU
rnacentral:tRNA from 1 species